rnacentral:misc_RNA from 1 species
GAAAUGCGAUACGCAAUGCGAAUUGCAGAAUCCGCGAGUCAUCAGAUCUUUGAACGCAAGUGGCGCCGAUUAUAUCGGCAUGUUUGUUUCAGUGUGGAAGGAAUCACAAAGCUAAAUGCGAUUGAUGUCCCUGAUAAAAAGGGGGCCAUCUCUCGUUAAACAAGUCAGUUUCUCGACGGAGAACUAUGUCUGAAUAAGAUAUACCUCCCUUCGCAACGAAGUAGUCUCAAGUAUUCUGAGAUCUCGAGGCGUAUAAAGGGAGGAAAAACUCCGACCAAAGAGAAAUGUCUAAAUAUCACUUUUCUACUACCACCUGAAAUCAAGCAAGACGACCCGCUGAACUUAA